CCUGACUGUGAUAUAAUUAAAUACAUAAAAAUCAAAUCUAAAUGUUUGUAUAGAAUAAAAACAAUACAGUGCCUGAAGCUGCCUUUGGAAAACUACUAAAGAACUUCUCCAUGUUCCAGACAAACUAAAUCAAGCUACUCCCAGCAAUAAAAUUGCCUAGAGAUUUUUAUAUUUUACUCUGAGCCUAAUUCCAGGUACAAGCCUUAAGUCUACCUGCAAAAUAGCUAAAAGCAAUAGUAUUUUGUCCUUACAUAUUUCUGAGGCUUUUGAAGGCCUUAUGAAGGUUCAUUUAAUAAUACUAGGACAUUUUUGCAAAGGAUAAAUGAUAGAAAUAAAAACUGCAUUCCCUUCUAGCUAGGUCAUCUUCCAUAUCUCCCAGUUCAUGCUUAGCCUCUCUAUACUUCAUCUCUAUGGUGGUGGGACAAGUGGCAACAUCUCUAUAUACUUUUUGCCUAGUGCCCUUUUGCUGAGUGGUCUGGUGACUGGAGACAGAGUUUGCAGGUUGUGCAGGAGAAGGAAGGGAAGGGAUGAGUCACCUUCCCCUGCUUUUAAGGAUAUCAGGAAAAGCAAAAUAAUAUUGUUAGGAGCUAUAACUCUUCUUCAGUGUGCCAAAGGAUUAUUCUGUUUUUCAAGGGGCAAAGAAAAAACCUAACAAACAAACCUGAAGAAAUGUAAGCAGAUUCAUAAAGCUGUGUGGUGGCAGUGAUCUUCCAUUCCUCCUUCAGGGUCUACAAAAAGCUGGAACCAAUUACUCCUAUAGAAAGGCAAGGAACAUACCAGCCUCAGCUGAAACACUCAAAGAAAACAGGCAUGUUUCCUUCUCAUGAGAACACAGCCCACUCUCCCUAAUGAGAUAAUUAUUCUCUCAGUGUCCAUUUGUGGAACUGUUGCAUUUGACUUUCUUUCAAGGGGGAGGGAUGAUUUAAAGAGCUUAGCUAGACCACAUAACCUUUUGCAUGAAAUUCUGUAGUUACUCAAGAAGAAAAUAAUGACAUUCAGGUCAUGAUAGCUGUCUCUUAUAUAAUGUUGAUAAUGCACAACUUUUGUAGUAUAAACAAGAGGAGAAGAGCAGCCUGGUCCCGUAGGUAUUGCAGUCAAGAAUUUAGCUCUGAAACUGUGGAAAAUGGAAGUAUUACCAAAGCAUUGCAUCAGGUUGCAAUAUAUUUAUUUAAUGAAAAAAGAUUGCAAAUAGCCUUGCUUCUCUGUCUCUCUUACGGAGUGCAACUGAAAUGGAGUAUGCACGCAGCUGUGAUCGGACCCAGAGCAGAAUACAGAGAACCAGGUUACUAUGUGAAGGGAAAACAAUAAAAAUGGAGGAAAAGCCACACACACCAUGAAAAUGAAGAAUAGCUGGGAACAUGAAGACAUACAAAAUCUUUAGAGUGGCUGCUAGAAUGCCCCCAUCUUCCCAAGGCAAUUAAAGCCUGACUCUGCCAUUACUCAUUGUACUUGUGACCAUUUCCAACACAGUACUUUAAUUGGGGUUCUUCAUGGAAUAACAAACAAUGUGUUUUCUCUUCAAUUUAGUUAGAUUCUCCCUUUUAAAAGAAUGUUUAAGCCAAACAAUAAGAAUUCUAGGGCUGAGAAGUAUGAAGUCACCUUACACUAAAGAAAACUAUAUAUAGUUUAUUUUUGUUCUGAUCAUUAAAAACAGGACAAAGAAUGACAAAACUAGGUUUUGGAACUGUGUGAGACCUGAUGGCUGGAACUGAAAUCUUAUUGUACCCAAUCAGUCAUACUCAGGUCUAGAGAAAAGAAGAUCAGUUCUUUUUUUCUGUAGUCUUACUGUAGAUUUUCAACACUGAGUAAAUUCAGGUUUUUUGUGCCUACAGAGAACAGACCAGCCUUAGCAACAGGUUUGUUUGGCACUUACUAAUCACCUUUGGUUUGCUGAACAGAAGUGUCUAAAUGGUUUCUUAAACUGGACAAGACUGUAGGGAACAAAUAAAUAUUAAGGAAUUCUCCCCCAACCCCCCAUGUAGCCUUGCAAGUGCUGUAAUUUAGUGUUAAGAGGUGCUCAUUAUUUCAGUAAUUCUGAAGCACCUGUCACUAACAAAUUACUUAUGUGCAGAACAUUAAUUCUAUAACUAGAAAAUCGAAACUAAUGGACCAAGUCUAACUCCUCAUCACAGAGACCCUUCAUGCUCUGUAGGUGACUGGAGCUAUUGGAAAUGAGUAAAAGAUUCCUAAUGAAGUGUGACAGAGUGUGAAAAACGUUAUUCUCUUAAACAGAGAAACUCCUCUGGCUACUUUUAGACCAAGAAAAAUUUCAGGUCUUGGCAAUAAUUUUCAGGCUGCUGGAAAGGGUGAUUUUGCCUCUUGUAGAUGUUAGGCUUCUCAUGGCUUCACUUUUGUUGUUGUUAUGUUUUGACAGGUAGAGAGGAGUCAGGACAAAGGAAUAUCAAGGUUUUGCUGCCUUGAAGGAAUUAUAUUUUAUGUUAUUAUUUCAUGUGAACUCUACUUAGAAUUUGGAAAAAAUAUAAGUAUCUACUGCAGGCAGGUUAAUAGCUAUUGGAGGAAAAUUUUCUCAGAAAGGAAGAAAAUGGUUCUUGGUUACGUAGCAGAUCCAACUUGUGAUUGCCUUCCAAAAGCAAUCAUCACUUCUUCAUAAUAAUAGAAUCAUGUAUCAUGUAUGUUUUAAGGGACUUUUGGGGGUCAGCUACUCCAGCCUCCUUUUCAAAGUAGAUCAAAUUAUACUGAGUUGCUCGGUGUCCUGUUGAGUUUUGAAUAUCACCAAGGACAAAGAUUUGUUUCAAUGUUGGACCACCCCAAGGUGAAAUAGGUUUUCCUGUCUCUAAUCAGAAUUCCCCAUGUUUCAGUUUGUAUCCAUUAUGUCUCCUUCUAUAAUCGUGCACCUUUGAAAAGUGUUUGCUUCCACCAUCUCUAUAUGACCUCCCAGUAGCUGGCUGGAGACAGCAGUAAUAACCCCCUAAGUGCUCUCUUAUUUGGGCUGAACCAGCCCAGUUCUCUCAACCUCUCCCUUUCCAUCAUGUGUCUUGUCCCUCUAACCAUCCUGGUGGCUCUCUGCUGGAUGCACUCCAGAAUGUCAUUGUCUUUCAUGUACCAGGGAUUUCAAAGCUCUGCACAGCACCCCAGAAGGAGUUUCAGAAGAGCUGAGCAGAGGCUAAGGGGAACAUUUUGUUUGGCUUGCUGGCCACACUCUUGCUAAUGCAGCCCAGGAUGCCAUUGAAUGCCUUUGCCACAGGUGCAUUCCUGGCUCAUAUUCAACUUGUUGUCCAUCAGGAACCCCAGGUUCUCUCUGUAAAGCUUUGUUGUAGUUGGUCAUUGCCCAGCAUGUACUGGUGGCUGGGUUUAUUGUUCGGGUGCUGACCAUUUAACAUUGUGGAUGUUCCUGGUAGACAAUUUCUACAGUCUGUUGAGGUUUCUCUGAAUAGCAGUUCUGCCCUCCAGCAUAUCAACCACUCCCCCCAAUGUGGUAAUGUUUGUGAACUUCCUGAGCAUACACUUCUAUCCUAUUGUUCAAGUUGUUAAUAAAGACAUUAAACAGCAUUAGCUCUAGUUCAGUCUCUCGGAUGUGCAGCAGGUAACCAGCUGCCAGUUGGACUUUGCACAGUUGACCACAACCAGCUGAACCUAAUGAGCAAGCCAAUAUUGAGAUUGAGAGUCCAUAACAUCUCAGCUUAGUUGAACAGCACUUGAUGAGCAUUUAAUGGUUUAAGUAUUUGAAAUUAUACAUUCUGUGCAGUUUCAAAUAUAGGUCUUGUUGACUCUUCACUGGGAAAAGAAAAAAAAGUUUUUGAAAAAGGUACUUUUAAAUGUUAAAGUGUUUCAGACAUGAUAAAUCUGUGAACAGAGUUCUACAGAGAGAUGUGUCAGGUUAAACAGAUGCAACUGAACUUUAUCACUGAAUAAAAAUCUUCUUCAGACUUUAGCAGAGAAGGAUUUUAUAGCUCUGUGCUGAGUAUGGGUCUUGUUCCUCCAUACAGUGAGUCAGAUCAAGAGCUGGCUCACAUUUUCCUUCACAGCAAGUAGGUGAAUGCAGUUUUGAGAAAGCUGGCAGAAAGGGUUUGGAGUGCUAAAAGGAAGCAUAAGGAAAAGGCUGACAAAUGUCAGUGAUGCUCUGGAGUUUGGGAAAAUUGGUCAGGCCAUGGGACUUAGGAAGUUUCGUGGUGUUAAUAUGUUGGGGGAUGGACAGAGGAGAAGCUUUAGGUGAGGUUAAGUGGGAUGUCAGAACAUUGUAGACGCUUCAGAAGGCCUGUCCAGAAACAGGGGGAGGAAACCCUCUCUCUUUCCUCCACCCUAUUUUCAGCUGUUCCCUCAUUCUUGUGACCCUUCCUUCUUUCUCUAGAUCCCUGAUACACAAGAUCCAUCAUCAUUCACCAAAACAGCAGGGGAAACAGGGGACUGUGCAAGCAGGAGUACAGUCCCUAGAACUUAUGUUCUGUGAAGUAACAGCAAUCCUGUUUGUAUACAGACCUGGGAAGAAAUAUUUAAUUCCAAGAUUAGUCUGCUGUCUUGCCGUUGUUCACUCAUGCACGUGAGAACACAGAAGAUCCCGGAGACUGGUGGUUGACUAACUGGAGGAAUCAGAGGAUAGAACAAGCUUUGAGAGGACCAGAUCAGUAUUUGAAAACAAUAGAUUCACAGGUCAAAAAUGCAGAGCAUUUGGACAGAUGUGACUGGAAUGCUGUCAGCUGCUGCUAUUCCACAUCAAGGCCUUCAAUAUUUGUUGUUUAUUCAUCAAGCAAAAGCCCUUCAAGACAAGUGAUUAGAGGCAAAUAUUAGUU